UUAAUAAUAAGCUCAUCUUCUUCAUCAGUAAAGUUCCCUCUUUUAAGAUCAGGCCUAAGAUAGUUUAUCCAUCGAAGUCUGCAACUCUUGCCACAUCUAAGCAAUCCAGCAGCUUUAGGGAGGGAACGCCAGCAGCCUUCGCCAUGGAUGCGGAUGUACUCGAUGAGGCGUUGGUCUUCCUCUUUGGUCCAGGCUCCUUUGUUGGUAUGAGCUNNNNNNNAAGGGGAGCGUCCCAUGGCAGGAUAUCAGUACUGAGCUUGGAGGAUUAUAGCUUUAAAAUAAUGGGUUUGGUUCUGUUGGAAAAUGCAGAGAGAGGGGAGGAAGAGUU
rnacentral:misc_RNA from 1 species